rnacentral:rRNA from 1 species
UACGUAGGGGCAAGCGUUGUCCGGAUUUACUGGGCGUAAAGAGCGUGUAGGCGGCCGCGCAGGUCCGUUGUGAAACUGGAGGCUCAACCUUCAGACGUCGACGGAAACCGUGUGGCUAGAGUCCGGAAGAGGAGAGUGGAAUUCCGUGGUGUAGCGGUGAAAUGCGCAGAUAUCAGGAAGAACACCAAUGGCGAAGGCAGCUCUCUGGGACGGUACUGACGCUGAGACGCGAAAGCGUAGGGAGCGAACAGG